rfam:Yersinia ruckeri strain 37551 YRO1b0000016, whole genome shotgun sequence.
CAGAUUGAUGACAAAGUGCUCGCCGCGAUGAAACCAGCCAGAUCGUCAAGACACCGUGAAUACCGCCUUGUAGGCUCGUUCCGCACCAUCCCUGGCGCGGAGACUUG